AAAAUUGAAGGGUUUGAUUCUGGCUCAGAGUGAACGUUGGCGGCGUGGAUUAGGCAUGCAAGUCGAGCGAGAACCGUAGCAAUACGGGGACAGCGGCGAAAGGGACAGUAAUGUGUAGGUACCUACCCCGAGGUCUGGGAUAGCUGCGGGAAACUGCAGGUAAUACCGGAUAAUGUCUU
rnacentral:rRNA from 1 species